UGGAUAUAAUCUCGACUCACUCUAUCUAUAUAGUUUGAGUUAGAUUUAUUUUUGAUCACCUAUGAUAGCGAUCAAAUUUUAGCACCAUUUCUAGAGAUCAUUGGCAUGGUUGUGUUGACUAAGCAUAAGAAAAAAUAAUUACUGCUUAUUAUUCUUAAUGAUCUAUUAUUGUGUUGACUAACAAUAAUUUACUGUCUUAAAAAUAGAUUUGAUUUCUUAUUUUAAUUG
rnacentral:lncRNA from 1 species